GAUGAACGCUGGCGGCGUGCUUAACACAUGCAAGUCGAGCGAAGCAAUUUAAGUGAAGUUUUCGGAUGGAUCUUAGAUUGACUGAGCGGCGGACGGGUGAGUAACGCGUGGAUAACCUGCCUCACACAGGGGGAUAACAGUUAGAAAUGACUGCUAAUACCGCAUAAGCGCACGGUACCGCAUGGUACAGUGUGAAAAACUCCGGUGGUGUGAGAUGGAUCCGCGUCUGAUUAGGUAGUUGGUGAGGUAACGGCCCACCAAGCCGACGAUCAGUAGCCGACCUGAGAGGGUGACCGGCCACAUUGGGACUGAGACACGGCCCAAACUCCUACGGGAGGCAGCAGUGGGGAAUAUUGCACAAUGGGCGAAAGCCUGAUGCAGCAACGCCGCGUGAGUGAAGAAGUAUCUCGGUAUGUAAAGCUCUAUCAGCAGGGAAGAAAAUGACG
rnacentral:rRNA from 1 species